GACGAACGCUGGCGGCGUGCUUAACACAUGCAAGUCGAACGGAAAGGCCCUGCUUUUGUGGGGUGCUCGAGUGGCGAACGGGUGAGUAACACGUGAGUAACCUGCCCUUGACUUUGGGAUAACUUCAGGAAACUGGGGCUAAUACCGGAUAGGAGCUCCUGCUGCAUGGUGGGGGUUGGAAAGUGUCGGCGGUUGGGGAUGGACUCGCGGCUUAUCAGCUUGUUGGUGGGGUAGUGGCUUACCAAGGCUUUGACGGGUAGCCGGCCUGAGAGGGUGACCGGCCACAUUGGGACUGAGAUACGGCGCAGACGCCUACGGGAGGCAGCAGUGGGGAAUAUUGCACAAUGGGCGGAAGCCUGAUGCAGCAACGCCGCGUGCGGGAUGACGGCCUUCGGGUUGUAAACCGCUUUCGCCUGUGACGAAGCGUGAGUGACGGUAAUGGGUAAAGAAGCACCGGCUAACUACGUG
rnacentral:rRNA from 1 species